GCUGCCGCCGAACUUCGCCGGGCUCGGAAUGAAGCAGCGCC
rnacentral:SRP_RNA from 13 species